GUGACAUAUACUUUUCUUGCUUUUUUGGAGUAGUACCUUUUUUAAAUUGUUAGUGAAACAAUAUAGGUACAAAAUUUAGAUACGUCUUAUUCAUCGAUUUUUUUAUUCUUACUUACUUGUUUUGGCGGGAAUAAAGUAAUUCAUAUUUAAUGAUCAAAACACCUAGGACCAUCAUCUGAAGAAUCUUCAAUAGAAAUAAACACGUCUUCUAUCUAACUUAAGCAAGACAGAUUAUGGUUGUUAAUCCGACUUCCCUGGACUAUUCAAAAAUUUUUAUAACAAGCAAAUAAUUUACAUAUCAGGGUUAAACACGACUUUAAGAUUUCGAUAGUAACAACAUAAAAUGUUUUUGUGGUGUUUUGUUGCUUAAAUCAUGACACACAAUAUUAUGAAAGAACAACUGAUAGAAAUGAAAAGGCUAAUUAGUCUUUUAAAGAUGUAUUUCGCAAAACUUUUAGGAAUUUUGGUCCUCAAUGUUCUUCCACUUCGGACUUUAUUUGGCCUUUCAAAUCUUUUGCAUUCGAGCGUCACGAGUUUUUAGUAGACGAAACGCGCGUCUGGCGUAAAUACAAAAUUUGAUCCUGGUAUCUUUGAUUAGUUUAUUUUCAUAUUUCCUAAGUUAAGGUGACUUCCGAUACUAAGGGAGAUAACAACAUUUUACUGAUGUAAACUGGUUCCCGUUUAAAAAUUUAGGAUAUAUCGCCUGUAUACUGGUCACGUAACAGUUCGAUGUCGUCUGUUGACAACGUGUGUAAACAACUUCCAAGUUACAGAUCAUUGCUCAGAAGAAAGGAAGGUUUAUCAUAAAGGAUAAAUGCAUGCGUUCUUUAAAAAUAAAGAAUAUGAAUAGCUUCAGCCUGAAAAGUUACACAGUCUUAAAUGAUUCUCAACUUAUAAUAUCAUAUGAUAUAAGUUUUUGGAAGUUGGAGAAAUUCGGCGUCCGAUCACAGACAGUGAUGUUUUGUUUGACGAAACCUGGAAAGAAGGUCGGUGGGUAGCUCUGGUUGAUCACCUAGCGCAGAAUAUGUUCGUUAAGAUGUAAAACUGUCCCCUGCGGAUACUGUCUGUGAACGGAAAUACGACCUCAAGGCUUUACAGAGGGAGGCGUGAGCAUUUUUUGUCCAUACCAUAUCGUUGUAGCUGCAGUGCAUGUAACCUGCAUAUCAUGUGUGACAGUGUAGAAACGAGGGGGAAAAUGGGACUGGUGAAUUUUUUAUCAAUUCAAAAGCUGCACAUGAUAAGAGAGUUCAAUUUUCUCUUUAUUAUAUAUUCUCUUUACACAUUUAACUGGUUGGAGAAGGUGUAUGGUUUCAUGUCUUGAAUAAAUGAACCUGCCCACACUCUCUUUUUCUUUCUUUAAUUCCCUCUAUUAUGGUCUGGGGUUUAUGUGGUUUGAGGGUAAAAAGCUUUAUUUUGAGGGGAAGUGCUGCCCAAAUUUUUUAUGAAGCUGGACUUAGUAUUUUUUCUGGAAUUUUGCCCCCUGGAAGUUAUUUAUCAUUUUUUUGCAAUGAACACCAAGAACAUCUAUACAUAAGGGGCUUUUUAGUUUUGCAUCCAAAAGGAGAGGAUUAUUUUGUAAAUACUUAUUUGGUAGCAAUUAUAUAACCAUACAUAAAAUUAGAAUUGAAAAAGUAAACAAUUGCAGUCACAAUGAUUCAUUCACAAAAAUAAUGUUUUACAAACUCAAAAUAUUAGUUUUCUUUAUUUUUAAAUCAGAAUUUUCAUAUUAAGUCAUCUUUUGCAUGUGAUCAGAGACCAAGUGGUCUGAUACCUUACAUAUUUAGUCAUUUAAAAACCUAGAAUGAUGUGUAGAAUACAGAUAAUGCAUGAAGGCAAAAAGAAAAUUAAGAAGGGGGGCACCCUUCUCAUUCCACAUUAUUAGAAAAUAAAUGUGAAUCUGUGAUCUAUAAGAAUAAAGGUAAACCUGAAUUCACAAUCAUAUUAUAUAAAUAUAAAUUGAAAAAAUCAAUUGUAUAUAUAUUCCAAAUAAAAUUAUGAACUCAAGUCUAAAUAGUUUAUAGUUUAUCUAAUUAACCAAUACAAACUGACAUUUCAUAUUAUAUUUUUCAGGAAUGAUACAUGCAGAAAUUUGUGCACACAUUUCAACAAAUUUCCUUAAUGGAUUGAAUGUACUUUCUGUGAAUUCAUCAGCCAUACUUAAAGAAAAGGAAAAUUAAACUGGAAAGAAAAUAUUUGCAGUUGCAAAAGAAUCUGUAAAUAAAGUCAAAAGAAGAAACAGUUUUAAACAUGGUUAAUUUAAUGAAUAAUUAGAAGGUAAUUAAACCUUUAGUCAUAUCAUUUCAAAGUAUUUUUUGAUAAUUUUCCUAAGUAGAUAUAUAAAGUAUAACGAGGACCAUAAUUAUAUUCAUAUUUGCACUUAAGCAGUCAUAAAAAUGAAUUAACAGUCUUGGUAAAAUUCAAGUUUAGGGUCAAUAUUUCAAUCAAUUUUGUGGUAAGCAUUGUUAUAAUAUACUUCAAGACUUUCAUGUAUAGAACAUGACAGAAUUUGUUUCAACAAAAAUAUUGAACUAGAAUUAGUUACAUUUGUAUUUAUUAAAUGAAAUCUAUAUUAAUGUAUAAUUUCAACAAAUUUAAUGAAACCUAUUUGGUUUUGAAAGCCUUUAUACAUAUUAAUUAUUACAAAUUUCAUUGUUAACAGCCUGAGUUUCCAGUUAAUUUUAAAUGUAAUAUGUUUUAGCUAUAGUAUUUGAACACUGAUGCACUUUCAUUUAUAUAUAUUUGUUAUCACUUUUUUUCAUUAGGUUGAAGCUAGUUUUGUUGCAGAAUUGCAAAUGUUUGGUACUGGUUGAAACUAUGAAAGUAUACAGGUAAAUUUAAAGAAUUUAGACUUUAACUUUAUUAAUAGAAAAGAUAUUCCCAAAUGUCAAGGUGAAAGUGGACAUUGUAGAUUCUAAACACCCAUGUGAAAGCAACAGUCUUCUAUGGUGAGAGGAUGCCAUACUUAGCAUUAAUGCUCUUGUUAUUAUAUGGAAUAUGGCUUUUUAUCAUUAUUUUUCACUAUUUUGAUAUUCAACAACCAACAUUGAUAACAAGUAAUAUAAAACUCUCACUUUUUAUGAAUCCUAUAUUCAUAUUAAUUUACUUAUUAAUUUUUGUUUAUAUUUGUUAUCAUUGUAGGUCUCAUGGUUAUCAUUUAAACAGCAGGUUAUUAGCAGCAGUUUUGUAGAAAAAUGAAGGAUGACUGUCAAUGGUAAAUACAUACAUUUUAGGAUAAUUACAUGUAGUUACCUUUGAAAAAAAACUUAGGUUUCAUUUGAGACUUUUUAAUCUGAUAAUGGUGUUUUGCAGGCAUUUAUAACUUUUUUGGACAAAUAUAUUUAGUAGACUCAACUAUAAAAUGUAGGAUCAUGUAAACUUGUACAAGAUGUCACUGACCUACAUUUUCCACUUCACUGACUUUGGUUACAUUAAACAUCCAAUUUCAUAUACAACAAAUGUAUAUCUCAGCAACUAAAAGGUGUCAGAUCAUGCAAACUUAUAUAUACACUCUCAGAGUCUCAGUAACUCAGCUUCCAGGCAAAAGAAGGUCACAGUGAUCCACAUUUUACACUAUUGAUUUGUACUUUAUUUUAUAAUUUAAAUACAAAGUAUAUUAUCAAGACUGCCACUGGUUCUUAUGUGCCACAAUUCUGACAAUGAAGAUAACUAUGUGAUGUAGAUAACUUAUGUUUAUUUCAAACUUGGUCACAUGCUGUAUAUGUAAAUUUUUACCAAAAAGAACAGUUCAACUGUAUUGAUUUAAGGUAUAUGGUAAAGGUCACACCUAUUAAAUAUACAUGUAUACCUUGAAUUUGCAUUGGACCCUAUAAUGCUCCCUAUAUCAUUUAUAUUGUCAAUUAUUGCAUUCCAAAUUGCCAUUGUACACAAAACAAAAACCACUAAAAGGAUGGCCAUCAUAUGCAAAAGCAAUAUAAAAUGCAUACCCAUCAGCUUGACCUAAUUAUUGCAAUCACUUCAAAAACCUGGCCAUAUAUCAUAUUAUAAAACUCUUAAUGAGUACCUUUGUUAGUCAGGUAUAAUAUAAUCUUUUUAAAUUGAAUGUUGUAAUGCAUGAUUGGAUUAAUUUUGCACUCACUGAAAUAUUAUAUAGAUUUAGUAGUUUAUUAGUAUAUAUUACACCUUUUCAUUACAAAUAAAUAAAUUAAACUUUCAGGUAAAUGCAGCAAUAGAAUGUUCCCCUGGAAAAUUUACGCAGAAAAUUUGGGAAAGUAUGAAUAAGAAAUUAGAGAGGCAAACAGAUAACCAGAAAACAAAGAUUUUAAAAGAAAAGAAUUGCCACUAAUAGUAAUAUGAUAUAUCUGACUGGGGAGCAAAAUCAUGUACUAUUCAAUAUGGAAGGAUUGACAAUUUUGACUGAGAACAAAGUGAACUCUAAUAAUGCUAUGACUAUCAAUAAGUACUUGACUGAAUCAGAGGAGUAAACUAUUUACAUAUUUUGUAAAUAUAACAGUUAUAUGUUUGCUUGAUUAUUGAGGCAUUCAAAAUAAAGAAAGUUGAAAAACCUUUGAAAAAGUUAUAAUUUCAUCAUUUUUUGGUUAUGUUACUAUGACAACUGAAAUAUAUAAUGUAUUAUCAUUAUGCUUCAUCAAACUUAAAUCAUUAACUGAGGAAAAGGUGACAAAGUCUUUUUUAAUCCAUUUACUUGCAUGACUGUUACCUAUGAAUCGAUAAUUUAAAAAAAAAUAUAUUUGGUGAUUUUCGCUAACUUCUGAGUAAUUUAUUUUGCUCAUUUAAGACCACAGUAAUGCUAAAUAUAAGCUGCAUUACAAUGUAUCAUAAUAUUUGUUUACAUUUACAUAGAAGCCAUGUGUUGUUGCUCUGAAAUCAUGGUAUUUGAUCUGCCAUUGUCUGUUAGGUUGUUAAUCUUGCACAUCAGAACAAUGCAAAAACUUGAAUUUUCCAACUUCAUGUCCUGUUGCCAUGGUAACCGUUGUUCAUAGAAAAAAAAAUUGUUCUCAUUUGAUUGCCUUGUGAAACUGUAUUAUUCUGUGUUAGUUUAACAAAGGAUAUGACAACAUAUGUCACACUUUGAUCACCGAUGAUGAAAGAUAUACAAAAAACUGCUGUUGAUCACUGUUUCGUUAGGGGUCACAAAAACGUUUUUCGGGCAAAAAAUAGUCUGGUGACCCAUAUUUUUUUUUUAUUUCUUUUUAAAGCUCAUUGUUAUGACCAUCUUAUGUCAAAUUUAAAAAAAUAUUCAUUGGACCAUUUUUUUUGGAAAUUUAAGAAAAAUAGAAAUUUUUAACAAAAUCUGUGUUUUUUUUGUGGAGCAGUGUUGAUGAAAUUAGAGCCGAAAUCAAUGAAAAUGAAUAAAACUGCCAUUAUUUGUGUUUUAUUUACAUUUUAAAUAAUAAUUUUGUAAUAAAUGAAGAACAAACCUUUCAAAAUACUUUCAAAGGCUUAAAAAAAAUCCAGAGUUUCUACAUCAGGUAUGUAUUUAUGCAUACACGUGAUGUACCAACUUUGGUGACCGUUACCAUGGAAACGAGUCUGGUGACAUACUAUUUUUAACUCAAAUUUUCAUAGAGGCCAUUGCAUAGUAUAUGUAUGCAAAUUUUAAGAAAAAUUCAAUGGUGAAAAAAAAUUUGCUAUAUCUGUAGGGAUCCACCUUAAGUUAUAGUCUACGAUGAUUCACCAUUACAUUAAAUAACUAACAACAUGCUUUGGAUAUCCUCUAUAACAGAAUAAUUAAACAUUAUUCGACUGGAAAUCAUUUUCAAACCACUCACUUCUACACCUUGGUAAAUUUAUUUCAAUAUUCUGGCAGUAAUAACUUUAAUGGACGUUCAUAUCACCGUUUCAUUCGUUCCUUUUGAUUUUGUGUUGUCUCCAUUUUUUUUAAAUUUAAUGUGAUAAACUCUUUCUUGCAUUGAUUUGUAUAUCACUGUUUGUACAAAUUUUAUUUUAGAAUUGUCGCAUAAAAGCAAAUAAACAGGUGAUUUUGAAUCAUUUAACAUUUUCAUCAACGUCUCCAAAAGUGACUUUUGUGCGGCAAUAUAAUGACGUUAUCCAAAUACUGAUAAAUACACCUUUGCUCUUCUUUUGCCUGUUUGUUUGUUUGUUUGUUUGUUUUAUUAUAUGUUUAUUUGCUGUGCCUAAACUCUAUCUUUCAUAAAUA
rnacentral:lncRNA from 1 species